rnacentral:snRNA from 1 species
GUGUUUGCUUCAGCAGCAUGUCUAUUAAAAUUGUAAUGUUACAGAGAUUACCCUGGCCCCUGUUCAAGGAUGACACGCAAAUUCAUGAAGCUUUUUAUAUAUAU